rnacentral:tRNA from 2 species
GCCAGGGUGGCGAAAUUGGUAGACGCGCCAGACUUAGGAUCUGGUGAGCUUGCUCGUGCAGGUUCGAGUCCUGUUCCUGGUACCA